CAAUUUAUGAACUAACUUUCAAUGCAAUCUAGACCAAUGAUGUAAAUAAAAAACUAGAUGUCUAACUUCGGGUUCCGAGAUGAGGAAAACUUCUGGUUUGGCAGCCAUUUUUAAUUGAGGCAUAACAACAAUUUUUUUUUCAAAACGAAAGUGCGUGUGUGUGCCGUGCUAGUAGUAAAUGGGUAGGUCUUGUGUGGCAUAUGCCUAUACAAACCGUUAUAAAAAAGGUAGUAACAUUCAUUUCCACAGAUUUCCCAUCGAAAAUUAUGAACUGUGUAAAGCCUGGACAGUUGAAUUACGAAGAGACAAUUUUACCCCUACAAAACACUCCCAUGUUUGCAGUAGUCAUUUCAUGCCUUCUGACUAUAUGUCUAGAGAUGGUAUAAAUGAUCUGAAACCUCGUCUAAAACCAAAUGCUGUACCUUCGAUAUUUGAUUUCCCAGAGAGAUUGAAGAAAGUAUUAAAGCCCAGAAAGCCUUCUGUCGAACGAAAGCCUGCUAAAAGAAAACUUGAUGAAGUACGCGAUGAAAACAUACCAGAUAGCGAAAUCCCCCAACCUCCUACAAAAAUACUGAAGCCUGCACCAUCACCAACUAAGAAAAAGUUGAGACGAAAAAUCAAAACGUUAAAUCAAAAACUAAAACGCAGAGAAAAAGAAAUUGAAAACUUGAAUGAUUUGGUUAAUAACCUGAAAGAAAAGGGUCUGCUAUCUGAGGACUGUUGUAGCAUUAUUGCAAAACAUUUUUCAGGAAUUACAAAGGAGCUGAUAAAGUCUCAACUAGAUAACCACAACAGAAAGGUUAAUGGCAAGAGAUAUAAUAACGAAGUAAAAAAAUUUACUUUAACUCUUCAUUUUUACUCGCCAAGAGCUUACGAUUUUCUGAGAACAACUUUAUCCUUGGCUAAAUGUGUUAUAGACUAGGCUCAAAUCAUUAAAUUUAACACCAGAAUCUGUGAAGUUUCUGUGUGGAAACAGGCCUGUAAGAUUGACAAAAUUCUAUCGAAUUCUACUUUUGUUAUUUUCUUUACAUCGGCGCCAUUUUUAAUCAUCUCAAUGCAAAUGCAUGUUAGCGGUUAUUGUUCAUUUCUUUCAUCUGGGUUAUUGAGGCGUAAAAAAGGUAUUCUCACGCAUGCGUAAUAAGAAUAUAUAUAGUUAACAUACAAGCAUUUAUAAACCACAUAGUAUUGCUUUUUUCAGCGAUGCGUACAAUUUCACGGAUAAAAAACUCAAACUACUUUUAGGUCUCUGAGUUUAAGAGAAUAGUUAGCUAUGUUUCUUUACCUAGUUCUGACCUUUUCAUGUAUGUACAUUGUGAGAUAUUUUUUGCUGUUUUUAUUGAAAUCGCCACAUCAAAAAGUAAGAGCUGGCUAUCAAGAGGAUUUAAUAUUUCCCUUUG